GAGAGCUGUUUAUAUGCAUAAAGAUUGCAGUUAGCCAACGUGAAGAGGCGGCAAACAUGAGGAUGUCGAUGGCUUCUCCUUUCUCUGGAGACCGGAGUAGCAGUUGCACGAUGACGAAUAGCUACCUGCACAGAUGAACAGCCAUUGAUCAAGAAAACUCGACAAAGAGCCUUCUUCGCUUAUCUUAAGGAUGAAAUCACGAGCGAGGCUGUCUGAAGCAUCAUCGUUUUCUUCAAAUAUGGCUUGGUAUCAGUUAACAACACCAUGAAAACUCUGCAUACUGUUUUCCCAGUUUAUCAAAUAUUCAAAGAGAAACCUCUGGUCUAAAUCAUCACAAAUGUAGGGUUCACAAACAAGCCUUCAAAUGUGCAGAAAAUAUUCAAGAUUCAUUGCAAUUCAUCUUAAUCUUCAACCUCAUAGAAACAAUGGGGGUUCAGAUGUAGGAAUCACCAUUCGCAGUGUUGUUCCAUUUAGUUAUUAGCAAUAAAUUUAUUGUUACUUUUUCUCCCCUUCUCUUUUUUACAACAAUUGAUUAGCAGUCAUGAGUUUUCUUGUUUGUGGAAAUGAUGAAAGUCUAGUAGUUUUCACCUCCAA